rnacentral:rRNA from 1 species
CCUACGUGCGGCAGCAGUGGGGAAUAUUGCACAAUGGGGGAAACCCUGAUGCAGCGACGCCGCGUGAGUGAAGAAGUAUUUCGGAAUGUAAAACUCUAUCAGCAGGGAAGAUAAUGACCGUUCCUUAGUUACAACCACCGGCUAACUACGUGCCAGCAGCCGCGGUAAUACGUAGGGGUCAAGCGUUAUCCGGAUGGACUGGGUGGAAAGGGAGCGUAGACGGAAUGUCAAGUCUGACGUGAAAGCCCUUGGCUCAACCGGGGGACUGCUUUGGAAACUGUUAAGCUGGAGUGCAGGAGAGGAAAGUGGAAUUCCUAGUGUAGAGGUGAAAUGCGUAGAUAUUAGGAGGAACACCAGUGGCGAAGGCGGCUUACUGGACUGUAACUGACGUUGAGGCUCGAAAGCGUGGGGAGCAAACAGGAUUAGAUACCCGUGUAGUC